rnacentral:rRNA from 1 species
AUUUGGCGGACGGGUGAGUAAUAUAUCGGAACGUGCCCAGUAGCGGGGGAUAACUACCCGAAAGAGUGGCUAAUACCGCAUACGCCCUACGGGGGAAAGGGGGGGAUCGCAAGACCUCUCACUAUUGGAGCGGCCGAUAUCGGAUUAGCUAGUUGGUGGGGUAAAGGCUCACCAAGGCAACGAUCCGUAGCUGGUUUGAGAGGACGACCAGCCACACUGGGACUGAGACACGGCCCAGACUCCUACGGGAGGCAGCAGUGGGGAAUUUUGGACAAUGGGGGAAACCCUGAUCCAGCCAUCCCGCGUGUAUGAUGAAGGCCUUCGGGUUGUAAAGUACUUUUGGCAGAGAAGAAAAGGUAUCUCCUAAUACGAGGUACUGCUGACGGUAUCUGCAGAAUAAGCACCGGCUAACUACGUGCCAGCAGCCGCGGUAAUAAU